GUUAGGUUUUGUGAAAAUCAAAGUAGUAAUCAAAUUGCAAAAAUUAGCGGAAGCGUAAUAAAAUCAGAUUUUAAAAUUUUUCACAAACCAUUUACCCGGAUUAUCCUUUAUGCAUAUUAUUAAUUAAAACGAAGAACAAGAAGUUAUGGAAUUAUACCCUUAUAGAAACGAGCUUCCACAUGUACGAGUUCAACUCCUACUUCUCCGCGAUCUCCUUGAAUCUCCGGGUAGAUUCUUUCCUUUGAUCAAUAUUAGCCACCCAAGUGUGUGGCCUCUAGAGGUGAUCCACCAAGGAAGAUUAAUUUUCAAGAAGAAGGGUGUAUUGGCUCAAACCCUAAUUUUUUCUAUCUCUAUAAAAAAAGGGGGCGUACUCUCCAACAAUUUGAAUUACGUAUAUCUGAUAUCUGAUAUAGGACUCCUCUUAUAAAGAUAUCAGGUAACCCUAUUUUAAUUAAAAUAAGGUAUUAUUUAUUUAAUUAAACUCUUUUAAUUAAAUGGGCUCCCUAAUCUUAUUAGGGAUAAUUAAUUAAACUCCUUUAACUAAUUUUCCCUCCUAAUUCUAUUAGGAAUAAAUGAGCGUACUUAUAUUAAAUUAAUUCCUAA
rnacentral:lncRNA from 1 species